GCUCGUAGGCGGUUCGUCGCGUCCGGUGUGAAAGUCCAUCGCUUAACGGUGGAUCCGCGCCGGGUACGGGCGGGCUUGAGUGCGGUAGGGGAGACUGGAAUUCCCGGUGUAACGGUGGAAUGUGUAGAUAUCGGGAAGAACACCAAUGGCGAAGGCAGGUCUCUGGGCCGUUACUGACGCUGAGGAGCGAAAGCGUGGGGAGCGAACA
rnacentral:rRNA from 1 species